UACGUAGGGGCAAGCGUUGUCCGGAAUCAUUGGGCGUAAAGAGCGUGUAGGCGGCUCGAUAAGUCCGCUGUGAAAGUCCAGGGCUCAACCCUGGAAGGCCGGUGGAAACUGUCGGGCUAGAGUCCGGAAGAGGCGAGUGGAAUUCCCGGUGUAGCGGUGAAAUGCGCAGAUAUCGGGAGGAACACCAAUGGCGAAGGCAGCUCGCUGGGACGGUACUGACGCUGAGGCACGAAAGCGUGGGGAUCAAACAGG
rnacentral:rRNA from 1 species